rnacentral:tRNA from 1 species
GCAGCCAUAGCUCAGCUGGAUAGAGCGUCAGCUUGCGGAGCUGAAGGUCGUUGGUUCGACUCCAACUGGCUGCACCA